GACGAACGCUGGCGGCGUGCUUAACACAUGCAAGUCGAACGAAGUGGGAACGUGUGAGUAAUACGUGAGUAACCUCCCUCCUUUUUGGGAUACGCCUUGGUAACGGGGUCUAAACCGGAUAGAUGGGCUCGCGGCCUAUCCGCGUGUUGGUGGGGUGAUGGCCUACCCAGGCGGUGACGGGUAGCCGGCCUGAGAGGGUGACCGGCAAAAUUGGGGAUGGGAUACGGCCCAGACGCCUACGGGAGGAAGCAGGGGGGGAUAUUGAACAAUGGGAGAAAGCGUGAGGCAGCGACGCCGCGGGAGUGAAGAAGGGUUUCGGAUCGGAAAGAUCGGUUGUUAGAGAAGCGGUAACUAACCAGAAAGGGACGGCUAACUACGUGCCAGCAGCCGCGGUAAUUC
rnacentral:rRNA from 1 species